ensembl:lncRNA
GGGACAUGCCGCUGCCGGCACCCCGCUCGCUGGCCCGGCGAGGAGAGGCCGGUCUGGGGUGCGGGCAGGGCGGCGGGCAAACUCCUGGCCCGUAAGCCGAUCAGCAUCCCCGGGAGCAGAUUGGGGCUCGGGCUUAGCGCGCUGACAUCAGGGCGCAUCUGACAAUGCGAUUUGCUCGGGCGGCGCGGCACUCAGCGGGGCUGCUGGCGGCGGUGCGGAGAGGGGCUGCCGGCACGGAGCGGGGGGCACUCCGCGUGUGGGAGCUGCAGCGGGCGCGGGGCCCGCGAGCGGGGCAACUGCGGCUUCUUAGAGAUGUGCCAAGCACGUAUUUCUAACGGAAGGCACCUAGGCAUUAGACUGGGAGGAGUGACGCGUGCACAAACUGAGUUUCUGCAUUGCCGUAGUUGUUCUGUAACUCUUUUUCACAUGCUAUGGAUUGGCACAUGGGUCCAGGGAGGGAAGACCUACCAGUCAACCCAGUGGGAUACUCCGUUUCUUCACUCAGCGCUUGUGAGGCCACACCUAGAGUACUGUGCACGACUUUGGGCCCCUCACAACAAGAAAUACACUGAGGCUUCGGAGUGUGUCCAGAGAAGGGCAAUGAAGCUGGUCUGGAGCACAAGGAAUGGCUGAGAGAGAUGGGAUUGUUUAGUCUGGAGGAGGGUCAGGGGAGACCUCAUCACUCACUACAGCUCUCUGAAGGGAGGCUAUGGCCAGGUGGGGGUCAGCCUUUUCUUCCAUUCAUUCCAGAAUGACAGGGAAUGGCUUUAAGUUGCAGCAGUUCAGGUUGGAUAUGAGGAAAAAUUUCUUCUCCGGCUGUGGUGAGAUGUUGGAACAGGGUGCCCACGGAGGUGGUGGAGUCACUGUUCCUGGAGGUUUUCAAGAUGUAGAUGUCACACUGAGAGAUGUGGGUUAGUGGGCAUGGUGGUAGUGGAUUGACAGUUGGACUGCAUGGUCUUACUGGUCUUUUCCGGCCUUCUAUGAUCCUGUGAUUGUUUCAACAGCACUUUGAGGUGAACCUCACGUACGUGAGAGGCUUCAGCAGUUAGUUGUCUGGGGUCCACGUCUGCAGUGAAGGAAACGAGCAUUCUGCAGUGAGUUGAGGCAGAGUGUGAGACGAUUUUUGAAUUAAAAGAAAGCGUCGAUUUUAGAGUCACACAGAAGCAUGAGUAACAGGGUCUGGGUAGUGGAUGCUCACAGCUUUGCAAGAGUACCCCAUACAAAACCAGACCUCAGCGUUGCCACCAUGCCAGGGGGCUUUUGCCAAUGCCAAGCUGCAGGGCGGGAGUGCGGCGUCUAGCAGACGGAUAUCUGUAAUCAGAAUUAGCAACAGAUAGUGCCCUGAUUGGCUGCCUCUGCAAAGAGGCUAACCCGGGAAGAAAUGGGAUUAAACUGCUCCCUCACCUCCACGCAUCCCGGGGAUCACUGCUUCAUGUUUGAAGUAGUGCUCGCACUGAUGCUGCCCAUCUCCAGACAAGUUUUCAUGUAAAGAAAGGCUCCCUGGCACCGUCGCUCCUAUCUCUCUGCUUCCAAAUCGCAUGCUUUGGACUUGGUGUAAAUUACAGCAUGACAGCACUGUUAAGUUUCAGGGCUCCAUUCAGAGAACUUUCUGUUUCCCGCUCAGCUGGUGUGGCCAUCUGUCCAGCCAGCACAACUCUAUCUCUUAGAGCACCACUUGUACUUUGGAAGAACUUCAGCUUUCCUUAAAAUCCUGAUGCUGACAGGGAGCAUUUGCACUGCUGUCAGGCAGAACUUACCGUAGGAGCUCAGUGCCCAGAAAGGCUCCUGCCUGUGGUAACUCUGAGCAGCAGAAAAAGUAGAAGAGUGAAUUCUAACAGAACAGGAACAAAUAUUUUCUUUAAGGUGUCAGAUUAAUACAGAGCAUGCACUAUGCUUCACUUUUCAUUUUUCACUUUUACAACUGCUGCUGAGGCUGUUGGUUAGCCUCUGUGCAACGCGACAAUGAGCAACAAGACACCACAGAAGGGUGCAGCAUAUUGCAUGCAGACCCUUCCUUGGCCACCCAAGACGAUGCUGCGGAUCUUGGUCCUGCCAGCACGAUGCUGAUCUGCUUGAGCACAGCCAUAUAGGUAAAACAGAUUAUGCUCAGUUUCUAAAUGCCUUCAGUGGCAUGGCAAACAGGGUUUCUUGUCAUUUGUGCUUCAGUGUGCAACUGAAGAGAGAACAACGUGAAGAAAGGCUACAGAAUAAGUCUGCAAAAUGCUUUCAGUUGAACAGAAAGAAACUGUUUACAUGGCUUCCGUAAGAGGACAGCCUCAAACCUUUUUUCUAGAAUAGAUACCAGUUAAUGUCACUGGAGUUAAGUGUUGGUAUUUAGAAAUUUUGCAAUAAAAACAAAGAAAUAAAGAUUGCCAUCUUAAAGCAAAUAGCCUUAUAUUGUAUCUAUUUAUCACCAUCUCAUCAAAAUUUACUGCUGGAAAUUAACAAGGCAGGAAAUUAAAAUAUCCAGAGCAGAUCCUACCUGUCUUCAUGCAGACAAAACUUCCUUUGAAAAAAAUACAAGUUUUUGGAAUGACGAUAGCACUGAGCCCCCACAGUUUGCCUCGUUAAGGUUUACAAGCCAUUUCCUUUACAAACAGUUCUGAGGCUGAGAUUUAAUGAGGUUUAUGUCUGAUAGUAAAAUUAGAAUGAAGAUUCAGUGAGUGUUGAGUGUCCCUCCCACACUCAAUGAUUUAACCUAGGGAAAAAUUUCACGUACUGACAGAGAUUGCCAGUGUUGUUAAAAAGCAAAUCUGGUCAGGACAAAAGAGUAGGUUUCUAGAAGGAAAAGUAAAUAAAUCCAAUUACUUGCUUGGAUUGUUUAGCUAUUUGGAACUUCGGAUAGACGGGAAUGCUGAUUAUGUCUUAUUUUUACCUGCAGGAUGCCUGUGUACCCUUUUUGAAGUUCUGGGGGUGUUUCCCUCUUCCUCAGAUGAGCUCUUUGCAAAAAUCCUGCAAACAAGAGAAGAUGAGGCUGGUGAGAUACUCAAGGUAAUGUAAUGGAGGGAUAUAAGCGUCAUAAUCCAAAGCUCCACUGCAGGAAGCCACGUACUUAAGUCUUUUUGGACAAUUUCCUCAGAACUGUGAAAAACUACUGUUUCAGCAUGCUCCUGGCUAAGGAACAUAGAGAGUGGGAGAGCAAAACAUUUCUCCAAUUUGUAGCAGAGGGCUCCCCACUUACCUGUGAAAAGAUGUCACUCAGAUUUUCCACAUAUCUGUGGGUGCUUUCAGCCUUUCUAGCCCUAAGUUUUGGCUCUGGGAUGUUCAGGAUAUGGCUUUACAGUUUGGAAGAGGUUCAGGUGGUAUUUAACUUCAAGCCAUGGGUACCAAGUGCUAGCCAAUUACCACAGACAUGUGCCAGUCUCCCCCUGCUGUAGUCCUGCGUCAGUAAACUGUAAGCAAUUUUGCCUAAUACAAACUGGGAGUCGGUCCCUGCUAUCUAAUGCAAUCCACUAGCGGAAAAGCACUGUCAGAAAAACAGAAACAGAAAUAUUUUUUCCAAGUAAAGAAAUUAAAGACAAAGUCUGAAAGUUUCGCUGCCAAAUGUAUUCGUUUCGAGUGUGUUUGUCUCAUUGAACACUCCUGUGAGAAUUUGGAGCACUUUAGAAUAGAGCUUGCACCAUGGCAUGCUUCAGCACAGAGCCUGAGUUCCUGUUGUAAAGCUGUAUUAAGGGAGAAAUGCCUUCAUGAAUGUUGAAGCAUUAUUCCAUGUACACACUGAUGUAUCAUCAGGGGUGGAAAUGAAGAACUUGUGGACAAAUGACUGAGUUGCAAGACAAAUGGGACACCAAUAAUGGCACUUCUAUCAACAUCAGUUUUUAGAAUGUGAGCAUUUUUUAAAAAUUAAAUUAUUCUUAUUGUUUUUAAGACUAUAUCAGGUUCCUAUUCUUUACUAUUUCUUUAUUAUGUGAACAGGAGACCUGAAAAGUUUUCUAGCUGUUAUUUAAAAACAGUUAUAUCUAGUUUUUUUGGACUCAAAAAGUAUCUGGAAACUUCAGUCUAUAGCAUUUUUCUUUUUCCUACAGUCUUCAAAAUAAGAGAAUCUUAAGGGAUUUUUAUCAUGUUUUCCAUUCACGUGUUUUUAUUGGAAGGGCAGAGAUACUGAAUCCUAACAAUGAUGGACUGUCUCCAUGUGGUUUGUUAUGUUUAAGUAAGGAAGCGUAGCAAAAAUCAAAUUCUGAUGUGUAUGAACAGCUGAGUGAGGUUUUUUGGACUGUCUUCGAGAAAGUAAUUGAGAAUUCAGCAUUAACGUUGACACGACAGCCUUCCAUGAUAAACAAGAGUUUAAUGUCAACUUUAAUGGAGAAGCAAAAAGUGUCGUUUGUCAAACACUUGUCAAAUCAUCUUGAAAUACUCUACGGAUGAAAAAAAAAG